UACAGAGGCCACGAGCGUUAGGCGGAAUCACUGGGCUUAAAGCGUGUGUAGGUGGAUCGGUAAGUACCUUGUGAAAUCCCACGACUCAAUCGUGGAACUGCUUGGUAUACUGCCAGUCUUGAGGUACUCAGGGGCAAGCGGAACAGAUGGUGGAGCGGUGAAAUGCGUAGAUAUCAUCUGGAACGCCAAUGGUGAAGACAGCUUGGCUGGGGGUAUUCUGACACUGAGACACGAAAGCCAGGGGAGCAAACGGG
rnacentral:rRNA from 1 species